rnacentral:rRNA from 1 species
UACGUAGGGUGCAAGCGUUAAUCGGAAUUACUGGGCGCAAAGCGUGCGCAGGCGGUUGUGCAAGACAGAUGUGAAAUCCCCGGGCUACACCUGGGAAUUGCAUUUGUGACUGCACGGCUAGAGUGUGUCAGAGGGGGGUAGAAUUCCACGUGUAGCAGUGAAAUGCGUAGAGAUGUGGAGGAAUACCGAUGGCGAAGGCAGCCCCCCUGGAG